rnacentral:rRNA from 1 species
AUUGAACGCUGGCGGAAUGCUUUACACAUGCAAGUCGAACGGCAGCACGGACUUCGGUCUGGUGGCGAGUGGCGAACGGGUGAGUAAUGUAUCGGAACGUGCCCAGUCGUGGGGGAUAACGUAGUGAAAAUUACGCUAAUACCGCAUACGAUCUAUGGAUGAACGCGGGGGAUCGCAAGACCUCGCGCGAUUGAAGCCGCCGAUAUCAGAUUAGGUAGUUGGUGGGGUAAAGGCCCACCAAGCCAACGAUCUGUAGCUGGUCUGAGAGGACGACCAGCCACACUGGAACUGAGACACGGUCCAGACUCCUACGGGAGGCAGCAGUGGGGAAUUUUGGACAAUGGGCGAAAGCCUGAUCCAGCCAUUCCGCGUGCAGGAUGAAGGCCCUCGGGUUGUAAACUGCUUUUGUACAGAACGAAAAGGUUUCUACUAAUACUAGGAGCUCAUGACGGUACUGUAAGAAUAAGCACCGGCUAACUACGUGCCAGCCGCCGCCGUAA